GACGAACGCUGGCGGCGUGCUUAACACAUGCAAGUCGAACGGAAAGGCCCUGCUUUUGUGGGGUGCUCGAGUGGCGAACGGGUGAGUAACACGUGAGUAACCUGCCCUUGACUUUGGGAUAACUUCAGGAAACUGGGGCUAAUACCGGAUAGGAGCUCCUGCUGCAUGGUGGGGGUUGGAAAGUUUCGGCGGUUGGGGAUGGACUCGCGGCUUAUCAGCUUGUUGGUGGGGUAGUGGCUUACCAAGGCUUUGACGGGUAGCCGGCCUGAGAGGGUGACCGGCCACAUUGGGACUGAGAUACGGCCCAGACUACUACGGGAGGCAGCAGUGGGGAAUAUUGCAAAAUGGGCGGAAGCCUGAUGCAGCAACGCAGCGUGCGGGAUGACGGCCUUCGGGUUGUAAACCGCUUUCGCCUGUGACGAAGCGUGAGUGACGGUAAUGGGUAAAGAAGCACCGGCUAACUACGUG
rnacentral:rRNA from 1 species